rnacentral:rRNA from 1 species
CCUACGGGAGGCAGCAGUGAGGAAUAUUGGUCAAUGGACAAGAGUCUGAACCAGCCAAGUAGCGUGAAGGAUGACUGCCCUAUGGGUUGUAAACUUCUUUUAUACAGGAAUAAAACGAGGCACGUGUGCCUUUUUGAAUUUACUUUAUGAAUAAGGAUCGGCUAACUCCGUGCCAGCAGCCGCGGUAAUACGGAGGAUCCGAGCGUUAUCCGGAUUUAUUGGGUUUAAAGGGAGCGUAGAUGGGUUGUUAAGUCAGUUGUGAAAGUUUGCGGCUCAACCGUAAAAUUGCAAUUGAUACUGGCAGUCUUGAGUACAGUUGAGGUAGGCGGAAUGCGUGGUGUAGCGGUGAAAUGCUUAGAUAUCACGAAGAACCCCGAUUGCGAAGGCAGCUUACUAAGCUGUGACUGACAUUGAUGCUCGAAAGUGUGGGUAUCAAACAGGAUUAGAUACCCUAGUAGUC